rnacentral:rRNA from 1 species
UACGGGGGGAGCAAGCGUUGUUCGGAUUUACUGGGCGUAAAGGGCGCGUAGGCGGUCAGCACAAGUCAGUUGUGAAAUCUCCGAGCUUAACUCGGAAAGGUCAACUGAUACUGUGCGACUAGAGUGCGGAAGGGGCAACUGGAAUUCUUGGUGUAGCGGCGAAAUGCGUAGAUAUCAAGAGGAACACCUGCGGCGAAGGCGGGUUGCUGGGCCGACACUGACGCUGAUGCGCGAAAGCCAGGGGAGCGAACGGG